AUAGACUUCUAAUGGUCUGUCUGUGACUUUGCUCUAAUAAGUGUUGUGGCUGUUUAGACUGUGUGCAGAGUGUUUGAGUGUGUUCCACAGAUGGAGCUUUGCAUUGUAUUGAUAGCAGCCAGUGUGGUACCAGUGUCUGCAGCAAAACAGUUCAGCCUCAUAGAAAGUCUCCUCUUGGCCACACAUCAGCGUCCAUGGCUCUGGGGUGUCUAUGUUUUUGCUGUUGGACUUCCCAUCAUUCUUUUCAUUAGCUUCAUGUGGCCUGACAAGCGGUUUGGCCCUCCUGAUCAACAAUAUUACUAUAAGAAGUCUGAUGAUCUACAACCAGAUGACCCUGAGAUAUGACUGAAGAAACUACCAGCGGUAGUGGCAGUGAAGCUGACAGAACAUAGGAAAAAAAGAGACACACACAGUUACCUGAGUAACUGUCACUAAGAUACAAGGAUUCAACACAUCCAUGAAUCAUUGUUCUUCAAGACCCCUCUUCUAAAAUGUGAAGACAGAAGCUGUACCAACAAACAUGGAAGACCUUCAGCUUUCUUUUUCAUAACGGCAUUUCAAUUGCGUGAAAGCUCUAUUUCUUUUUGUACCACAUACUUGACUUCAUUACUAGUCUCUGACAUGUCAAUUAAUUGACUCUUAGAAUCAGUACUAGAACAAUAAAUGCAGUAUUUCUAAAAUGUUGCUUCUAUUCUUUCCAAUGCAAUUUUCCCAAACUCGUACAGUAUAUGUCUCUUUGUUUGAGGACUCAUAGGUAUAAAAAUUUACUUUGGCAGUAUUUUUUAAAUAUUUAUAUGAUGAACCAAUCAAGAACAACAGUCUAGUUUGGUCAUUGUAUUAGGAAGUCUUUAACU